GCCGGGCGGGGUGGCUCACGCCUGUAAUCCCAGCACUUUGGGAGGCCGAGGCGGGUGGAUCACCUGAGGUCAGGAGUUCGAGACCAGCCUGGCCAACAUGGUGAAACCCCGUCUCUA
rnacentral:sRNA from 1 species